CUGAGAUUGGUUUGCUUCGCAAGCUUCAUGUUCUCACAUUAAACAAUAAUUCAUUGGGAGGUCAGAUUCCUUCUUCUCUAGGCCAACUCAGUAUGCUUCAGUUACUUGAUCUCCAUGCUUCUGGAUUAUAUUGUAUGAUUCCUCCUGAGCUUGGCAUUGCACUAACCUCACCUUCCUAGACCUUUCAAUAAAUUCACUCACUUGGGUCUUACCUUCUUCCCUAUCAAAUUUGGCAAUGAUAUCUAAUUUUGGAAUGUGUAGUAACUCACUUUCAGGAGAGACUUUGCCUCACUUCAUUAAUAGUUGGCCACAAUUAGUCUGCUUGGAACUUCAAAACAAUUCCUUCUUUAAGCUGUGAGUGCAGUCCCACGCUUUCCUUCGACACUCAAGGAGAGGGGGAGAGAGAGAGAAGAAGAAGAAUAAAAAGCCUGUAUUUUAGGUUUCAAGAAGAUAUGGGACAGCGCCGCACGUUCUCGCACGCACUUUAAGAAGAAGAAGUGGUGGAUCCCACAAUUUAGGUUUUUUAAAGUGAAGGGUAUAACGGUAAGAUUAUCCAUACCCAAGGGUAGUUUGGCCAUUUAGAUAAUAGUAAACUGCUGACAUCAGCACUUAAUGAUUUCCUUCUAGCGGAAUGGAUUUAUUAGAAAUUUUCUUAUGAAAGUGAGGGAUAUACGAGAUCUUUUUUCAAAUUCUGGGGGUUACAGGAAGUUAUGAAUAUUUUCAAGGGUGGUACAAGAAAAAAUCCCUAAAAGAAAAUAUUUUCACAAACACUUUAAAAAACAACUAUUGAGCCCUGGAUUUCGACCAGUUAUAGUCCAAUAACUCUCCUACUUGGAUGUUCUCUCUAAACAGGAAGUAGAAACCUUGUUCUCAACCAUUACCCUUUAUACCAUGUAGGCCGACCUACAAGUGUGUAGUCAUUCUUGUCGAUAGAUAUCAACCAUUGACACACUAUAGAGUCAUAGACGCACAAAACACGAAUGCACAGUAAGUGCCUCUCAGGUACGGGAAAAGGAAACAACCAAAAUUCUUGUUGCCCCAAACAAAAUAGGCGGUGAAACAUUACGGAAUUACUAUGGAUCAGUGAUUAACACAUAUAAGUCCCAACAUUUAUAUUUCUACGCCAAUCCCUAUUGGAAAAUAUACAAUGUGGCAACCAUAGAGACACAAUGCCUAGUUAUAUCCAUAGUUAUGAACAGAUAAACGGUACUUUUGUGCAGUUGCAUAUAAUAGUACAAUUAUAAUAAGUACAUAAUAUAAAAUUAUAAUUAAUUAAUUUAAUCUCAUUAAACUAGGUUUGAUGGUGGCACAUAAAAUGUCAACAUAUCUGACAUGUACAUGUGAGAAGACAAGUACAAUGUAUACCGCGGUUGUGUGACUAUCUUUUUCCCUUUACAAAAAUAUGCUUAUAAUUAACUAAUUGCCAAUCUCUACGAAUGCUUAAAGAUUAUACCCAAUCGAGAGAGGAUGUUAUUAUAGUGCAAAAGAAGAGUUGUAGGUAAUUAAGCUUGCUUUCUUUUUCCAUUUUUCCUUUUUUUUUUUUUUUUUUUUUUUUUUCUUUUUUUGGGUUAGCAUUAAUUGUUUUUUAAAUUAGAAAAUAUUUAGCAAAUUAUUUUACUUAGUUGGAGAGAGCUGUGUAAUUUUCACUAUUCUAGUACACAAUUCAGUCGAGAGUCUCUCAGCAGUGAACAAGAACACUAGCCAGCUGUGUAGAGGAACUUUCCAAGACCACCAGCACUAGCCCCGUGUAACGAGUAAUAAUGACUAAUGAUUCACGAGGAGCCCACCUCGUCCCACUGUAAAGAGGGAGUAAAGAGCACCCUCUGGCAAGGAGCAGAAUUAGCAGUUUUCCAUCAACAAACAGUAAAUAAUAACCUCUAGUUAAAUAAGAGUACCCCUCGUGCAGGCUUCAUUUACAAUUAUACCCAUCAAAUGCAGAAAAUUACACCCUUCUAACACCCAUCUAACAAUAGAUAGGCCAAUACCUGUAGCAGGGGGCAGGGGCACCAUAAUUGAAGAGACACCACAGUGUCAGAGACCCUUCAAUAAAUCGUGGCAUUAGUUUCAAUGUGAAAAGCAUUUCCCCAACCAAUUUACGUUACCAACAAGCCUAUCAAUUGAGUUUCCUUGUGUUCUCCCCCCUUUAUAAUCUCUCAUCAUCUCUUUUCUCCAUAUCAACUCACCCACUCAUGGACAACCAUGGGAGCCUCUCCUUCAUGGAAACCAUGAAACUAGACAUCCAUAGCCAUAUCGUUGGCGACAGUUACAGUGACAACGACGAUGAUGGCCUCUAUGCUCAUCUGAAGAAGCAGAUGCUGCUUUUGAUAGCAGAUGACGAUGAAGUCGGGCUUAUUACUGAAUCCUGAGUUCAACCACCCCAAACACCAUGAAUGGAACUGGUGUCUUCAUCCCUAAAGUCACAAAUCCAAUACCCAAAUCAAAACCAAAACACAAGUCAACUGGUGUCUUCAUCCCUCAAAUUACAAACCCAGUAUACAUGUCAACACCAAAACCUAAGGGUUCUUAUGGCGUCUACAUCCCUCGAGUCACAAUCCCAAUUCCCAUACCAACACCAAAAUGUGAUUCAGAAAACCCAAAGAAGAAGCAAAAAGUCGAGCAGGGAGCAAACAAGAAAAGCGAGCAAAGAACAGAGAAUUAAUAGAUAACCUCCAAGACUGUAUGUCGCUUGUGAGGAGCUCGGUAGUCAUGUUGUACCCCCCAUUUAUAUCAUCUCUGAUAAUAAUAAAUUAUUAACAACAUGGGAUUUAUAGGAAAUUGCCAAA